rnacentral:rRNA from 1 species
AUUGAACGCUGGCGGCAGGCUUAACACAUGCAAGUCGAGCGAGCGGCGGACGGGUGAGUAAUGUCCGGGAAACUGCCUGAUGGAGGGGGAUAACUACUGGAAACGGUAGCUAAUACCGCAUACCAUCAGAUGUGCCCUGGUGGGAUUAGCUAGUCGGUGGGGUAAGGGAUCACCUAGGCGACGAUCCCUAGCUGGUCUGAGAGGUGUACCAGCCACACUGGAACUGAGACCGGGUCCAGACUCCUAAGGGAGGCAGCAGUGGGGAAGAUUGCACAAUGGGGGAAAGCCUGACGCAGCCAUCCCGCGUGAGUGAAUAAGGCUUUCGGUUUGUAAGGCACUUUCAUCGAGGAGGCGUUACUCAAAAAAGAAGCACCGGCUAACUCCGUGCCAGCAGCCGCGGUAAUAC